rnacentral:rRNA from 1 species
UCUCCUACGGGGGGCAGCAGUGGGGAAUAUUGCACAAUGGGGGGAACCCUGAUGCAGCGACGCCGCGUGAAGGAAGAAGUAUCUCGGUAUGUAAACUUCUAUCAGCAGGGAAGAAAGAGGAUGGUACCUGACUAAGAAGCCCCGGCUAACUACGUGCCAGCAGCCGCGGUAAUACGUAGGGGGCAAGCGUUAUCCGGAAUUACUGGGUGUAAAGGGAGCGUAGACGGCUGUGCAAGUCUGGAGUGAAAGGCGGGGGCCCAA